GAUGAAGAACGUAGCGAAAUGCGAUAAGUAGUGUGAAUUGCAGAAUUCAAUGAAUCAUCGAAUCUUUGAACGCACAUUGCGCCCCUUGGUAUUCCAUGGGGCAUGCCUGUUCGAGCGUCAUUUGUACCUUCAAGCUUUGCUUGGUGUUGGGUGUUUGUCCCUCGGGACUCGCCUUAAAGUCAUUGGCAGCCAGUGUUUUGGUUUUGAAGCGCAGCACAAGUCGCGAUUCAAGGCUAUCCGCCCGCUUCCACAAGCCUUUUUCACUUUUGACCUCGGAUCAGGUAGGGAUACCCGCUGAACUUAAGCAUAUCAAUAAGCGGAGGA
rnacentral:misc_RNA from 1 species